GAAUCAAGACAGCUGAAUCACUAGGCAGUACUAGGGACUUUGGUCAUGUAUGCAGUCUGUCACGGACUGAAAGCUCACUAUGGUACCUGUAAGAACUGGAUUCAGUGGUCACACUGAGAGCCCGAAGAGCAGUCAGCCCUUAGUUCAGGACCUUGCUGUUGACCUCUUCAGAGUUUAAUAUUGGGCUCUUUGGAGAGACACAAGACACUAUCCUAAAUCUGAAGCAGCUCUAUCGAAGAGGGAGACAUUUCAAGGUUCACCAAAAUUCAUUUGCUAGUUCUUUUGCAGACUGAUAACACCUUGAAACCAUUACGUCGGGAGGAAAAAUGAAAAGUACCAGACGUGUUCUCCAAACAUCCUCUACUCAACAGAUUGCAAUUCUUUCCUAACAUUCAUAUCUGUGACAUUUCAUCAACGUAACUGAAAGAAGCCAGCGCAUCUGCAUGUUUAGUAUGCUAAUUCAGUUGGUGAAGAGCUGUGCGAGAGCAUUAGGAUCCUCUCCUCUUCGAGUAUCUUUUCCGUAAGGGCCUAGAACAUACUUCAAACCCUGGUCUGUAGCUUGAGAAGGGCAGAGAAUAUGAAAGAAAGUGGCGCCCUCCCUUUAGGUCUGUCAUAUGAUAUGCUGCAAGAGGAAGACAAGGGGUCAAAGGGCAACUGAACUGAAGGACUAACUACCAGGGGUAUAAAUGGGUUUGCUUUAUUUGUUAAUCCCCAUAUGCCCUAGUUAAAAACAAACAAACAAACUCUGCAGUCAUAUAGACUCACUUCAUUCCAUGCUUAUCCUUUCAUGCUGGUGAUGCUGCAAAGCAGCUUAAGGUGAAAGGCAGAAGAGGGCUGUUCUCUUGUGAUCCCCAGACUCAAGGCUCCCUUGCUUAAUCUCUGACUGAAAGAAUAGCAUUCAUAUAGAUGCCAUUUCUCAUUCUGAGUCUAUAUGUGGCCCCUCCUGAGGCUUGGAACUGAGGAGAGGAGGCAUGUUGGAGCCUUUUCUUCCACCUGCCCUCACAGUCCACCCCAGUCUCCUUGGGAAUUCCCCAAAUGCCCCUGAAGUGCAAAGUCAGCACCAGGAUGGUCGGAGCAUCCACUCUCAGCGUUUGCUUCUUCAUCACUUCACUAGACAACCCUUUCAGGUGUUAACCCCUGUGUUUGGGGUAGGGUUAAUUGAUGAAAGCCUCUGGAUAUAAGAGCUGGGAAGGAAGCUAGACUGGAAUUUACUGUAUGUGUGUGUGCUUGCACGGUGCUCUACUGCAUACGUGGACGUCAGAAGACAGCCUGCAGGAGCCAGUUCUUUCACUAUGUGGAUUCCAGGUAUGAAUCCUCAGAAUCAGCUGGAAUACCACAAGAAGUUCUUUGUCGUGUUUCUCUCUAUAAGAGCAGUGAAGACCAGUGAAGACCAGCAAAGCAUUGAACGACAUAGCAAUGAAAGAGCAUCCUCUCAUUGUCUGAGUUAUAUUUAUAUUCUUCACAAACACCACAUCCUCUCUCAAGCAUCUGCUCCAGCAAAACAUCACAGGCCCUCCCACGUGUCUGCUUCAGCAAAACAUUCUCCCACAAGACAGCUUGCAGAAAAACAUCACACAAUACAAUUAAGUUUCCAAAGAAACCAGAAAUUUCCACUUCGAUCCUGUACAGGAGAAAGGGGAAGAAGCACAAACAUUCACUGUUCUGUGCUUUCCUGACAGCAGAUGCCAUAUGAUCAGCUGCUUUAAGCUUCUGAUGCCACGCCCUCUCUUCUACAAGACUGAGUCAUCAAACCGUCAUAAUCCACCAUUGAAGGAAUUCAAGGCAGGAACCAUGGAGGAAUGUUCACCUUUGAUUUGCUUUCAUGGCUUGUUUCUAUUGUUUUCUAUGAAACUGAGGACCACUUACUGGGAUAUUGCACCACAUACAUAGUCUGGGCCCUCCCACAUUAUUCAAUAAUUAAGAAAAUGUUUCACAGAUAUUCCUAUAUGCCUACAGGCCAAUCUGAGGAAGACAAUUCUUCAAUUGAAGUCUCCUCUUCCCAGGGAACCCUAGUAUGUUUCAAUGAGAAAAACCAACAAUAAAAGUCCUGGUGGUUUAAACCUGA